rnacentral:rRNA from 1 species
GACGAACGCUGGCGGCGUGCUUAACACAUGCAAGUCGAACGGAAAGGCCCUGCUUUGGUGGGGUGCUCGAGUGGCGAACGGGGGAGUAACACGUGAGUAACCUGCCCUUGACUUUGGGAUAACUUCAGGAAACUGGGGCUAAUACCGGAUAGGAGCUCCUGCUGCAUGGUGGGGGUGGGAAAGGUUCGGCGGUUGGGGAUGGACUCGCGGCUUAUCAGCUUGUUGGUGGGGUAGUGGAUUACCAAGGCCUUGACGGGUAGCCGGCCUGAGAGGAUGACCGGCCACAUUGGGACUGAGCUACGGCCCAGACUCCUACGGGAGGCAGCAGUGGGGAAUAUUGCACAAUGGGCGGAAGCCUGAUGCAGCAACGCCGCGUGCGGGAUGACGGCCAUCGGGUUGUAAACCGCAUUCGCCUGUGACGAAGCGUGAGUGACGGUAAUGGGUAAAGAAGCACCGGCUAACUACGUG